UUACCUCAAAAUGCAAUGUAAAUUUCGUUACUUUAUAUUAUAAAAAAAAUAAAAAAAAAUUAUAUAAAAAAAAUCAUAAAAAAUUUCACCAAAUAGGAUUUAGGUUACAAAAAUAAAUUAAAGACCUGGAUUAGUUAGCAGUUGCGGAGAGAGAGGGGGGCAAGCUUGAGAAUUGAGAGACAGUGGGCCAGCGACUGAAACUUGCAAAUGGCAAAGCCGAACUGGAACAGCGGGUGAUGGAAACUGAAGGAUAUGGGUUUUGAUUUUUUGAACAAUCUGAAAUGAUAUGCCGAUAUGGGUUUUGAACUUUUGAUUCUUGCAGACAGAUAGAUUAACUGAAAUAUAUGGGUUUUGAACUUCUGAUUCUAGUAGAUUUUGCAGUUCAGAGUUGAGAACGAGAAUAGACAUGGACACACAUGGGGAGGUUGAAAUGAUUUGCCCUAAUUUUUAUUUUUUUAUUUUUUUCUGGUCCAUCAUCCAUGGGCCUAUAAAUUUUGAGGUCCUAGGCGACCACCUUGGGUCAGGAUCGGGCCAGGCUGGUCCUGGACUUAUUUAGCUUGGGCUUUUAUUUUAGUAUGGUGGCUAAGUUGACUUGGGCUUGCUUUGAUGGGCAAAUUUUGAGGUGAGUUAAUAUUAUUAAUAAUUUUUUUUUUUUUUUU